AACGAACGCUGGCGGCAGGCCUAACACAUGCAAGUCGAACGCCCCGCAAGGGGAGUGGCAGACGGGUGAGUAACGCGUGGGAACCUUCCCAGUGGUACGGAAUAACUGAUCGAAAGGUUGGCUAAUACCGUAUACGCCCGAAAGGGGAAAGAUUUAUCGCCAUUGGAUGGGCCCGCGUCGGAUUAGCUAGUUGGUGAGGUAAUGGCUCACAAAGGCGACGAUCCGUAGCUGGUCUGAGAGGAUGAUCAGCCACACUGGGACUGAGACACGGCCCAGACUCCUACGGGAGGCAGCAGUGGGGAAUAUUGGACAAUGGGCGAAAGCCUGAUCCAGCCAUGCCGCGUGAGUGAUGAAGGUCUUCGGUUUGUAAAACUCUUUCGCCGGGGAAGAUAAUGACGGUACCCGGAGAAGAAGCUCCGGCUAACUUCGUGCCAGCCGCCGCAGUAA
rnacentral:rRNA from 1 species